rnacentral:ribozyme from 1 species
AUCCUGAAAAAAAGAGGAAAAAGGUAGAAAGAAAGAAAGAAAGAAAAUUGUGUGAAUACAUAUAAAUCGAAUACUGAGCAAGAUUCAUUCCUCAAGAUCUCUCUUUGAUUCUGUUCUCUUCUAUUCUAUUCU